CACGUAGUUAGCCGUGGCUUUCUGGUUAGGUACCGUCAAGGUACGAGCAGUUACUCUCGUACUUGUUCUUCCCUAACAACAGAGUUUUACGACCCGAAAGCCUUCAUCACUCACGCGGCGUUGCUCCGUCAGACCUUCGUCCAUUGCGGAAGAUUCCCUA
rnacentral:rRNA from 1 species